UCAAACGCAAAUGAGGCCCUGUCCACACGACCACGGUUAAUUUUAAAACCGCAGCUUUUUCUACACGGUUUGGCCGUUCGUCCACAUGCAAACGCAG